UAUCAUCUCAGAGUUGUCUAGCACACAUUA
rnacentral:piRNA from 1 species